UACGGAGGGCGCGAGCGUUGUCCGGAAUCAUUGGGCGUAAAGGGCGCGUAGGUGGCCCGGUCAGUUCGUGGUGAAAGCGCGGGGCUCAACCCUGCGUCGGCCAUGAAUACUGCCGCGGCUGGAGCACUGUAGAGGCAGGCGGAAUUCCGGGUGUAGCGGUGGAAUGCGUAGAGAUCGGGAAGAACAUCAGUGGCGAAGGCGGCCUGCUGGGCUGUUGCUGACGCUGAGGCGCGACAGCGUGGGGAGCAAACAGG
rnacentral:rRNA from 1 species